UACGAAGGGGCUAGCGUUGCUCGGAAUCACUGGGCGUAAAGCGCACGUAGGCGGCUUGAUAAGCGUGCGGUGAAAGCCCGGGGCUCAACCCCGGGUCGGCCGUGCGAACUGUCGAGCUGGAGCACUGUAGAGGCAGGUGGAAUUCCGGGUGUAGCGGUGGAAUGCGUAGAGAUCCGGAAGAACACCGGUGGCGAAGGCGGCCUG
rnacentral:rRNA from 1 species